rnacentral:rRNA from 1 species
GACAGAGGUGGCUAGCGUUGUUCGGAUUUAUUGGGCGUAAAGCGCACGCAGGCGGUUUGGUAAGUCAGGGGUGAAAUUCUGCAGCUUAACUGCGGAACUGCCUUUGAAACUGCCUUUCUAGAGUGCAUGAGGGGGAAGCGGAAUUCCGAGUGUAGAGGUGAAAUUCGUAGAUAUUCGGAGGAACACCGGUGGCGAAGGCGGCUUCCUGGCAUGUAACUGACGCUCAUGUGCGAAAGCGUGGGGAGCAAACAGG